rnacentral:pre_miRNA from 1 species
UAUCCUAGAUUGCUUUCAAGGUCAUUUCUUUAGGGAACCCCAUUCCCAUAAAUCAGUAUCCAAAGAUGGUUGCUGUAUCUAUGGGAAUAAGGGUACCCUAACGAAAUGAUCUUGGACGCAAUCUAGGAGU